GCCUACCUUCUUGAAGUAGAAAGCAAUUUAAGGGACACGAGCAAGAAAAGUGAGGAUCCUUCUUUGCACAGACUCGAUCCUGCGGCAUGCGGAGCCUGAGCUGGCUUAGCACAGUCCAGUUCAGGGAGAAAAUGUAUCUCUAACAUGGGGACUUUGACAACACUGAUUCAGAGAGUUUUUGCAAGAAUAAAGAAAUAGAAGAACAAAUUUAUAAUUGGUACUGUGCAACAUUAAUGCUAACACACUACACAUUUACAUGGAUGGAAAAUACUCAAGGAAAAUUUGAUGCUUAGUAAAAUAUAUGGGGUCAAAGAGAUCAGAAGCACCACAGCAAAACCAAUAAUGCACUUUGGAGUCUCCCUCUAUGAUCACCACAGAGAACUCAAAGCUCUUGCCAGAUCCUGCAGACAUGGAGAUUUAUUUACUCUGGCAACUUUAAUAUUAAAUAACUAUGAGAUCAAAAGAUAUUAUAACUGCAUAUUCAUCUUAUCUAUGAGGGAAGAAAAAGCAAGGCUGGAAUACUCAACAAGCACAGUGGUCUUAUUUGAUUCACUAUAAUGUCUACACAUCAUCCUAGCUUCAGAUCAGUUUACAGAGUAAGUGCUCAACAAAUAUUUGUUGAAUGAAUAAAUGAGUUUUUCCAAGUAUUAAAAAGAUAA
rnacentral:lncRNA from 1 species